AGGACCAGGACACCUUGUGACACUCCUCUGCAAACUAUUAGUUUUCUUUUUACAAUGCUUACAAGAAAUUAUCAAUGAGUCUUAAGGAGAUUUUUGAGGCCCUCAUACAAAUUGUGGUGGAGGCAUUUCAAGCAUAAGGGGUAAUUAAAAAGUCCAAAGUUGUUUGUAUGAGGUGUGGCUAAGUGGCAGUUGAAACUGGCAUUGGUGGUGGAGCAGAGAAGCAAUGCAAGAAGAGACAAGCAUGGAAAUUCAGGGAAGGGCAAAGCUACAAAGGGCCUUGGAAGUCGGGACAAAAAGCUUUAGGGGUAGGUUGGGUAGAAAGUGGAGGGAUUCAGAAGAGGGUAGACAUGGUCAGAACAAGCAAGAAAUAUUAAUUUGGUAGCUACAUCUUAUAUAGCCUGGGAAGAGUGGGUGCAAUGUGAGAGAUAGGGAAGCUGUAGAUAUAGAGGAGACAAUCACACUAGUCAAGACAGCAGAUAAUGAGUAAGCAGUCUGGUUGUGUGAAUAGAGAAUGUUGUUUGUUACAAAUUUUAUGCAGGAAGGAACAUCAAAAUUUGAACACAGCUUGUCUGUGUCAAGGGAGAGGAAAGAUUGAAAGAUGGAUUUUAUGUUUUGACUUGAGUGAUUGAGAUGAUGGUAACAGUGACAAAGAAUGGGAAGAGUGGACAUGGCUUCGAAAGAAAGGUCCAUUGCUUCAUUCAGUGCACAGGAUGGACUUACACUGGGGAUGAAUCAAGGUUGUGAGGUGCAAACGUUUCUAUGCUCCCAGUAUCAUCUUCAUCCCUGAGGUUAUUGCAGAUUAGAAGGUAGAAAAAAAUGCACUCGCGAUAACAUGUUUUCAGAGCUCAUGCAGUCCUCCCACACUGAUAGGCACAGCUGAACGCAUGGAGGCAUUCAGUGGCAGAGGCCAGGAAAGCGUUCAGUGAGCGUGAUCAGAACACACAGGAGGAGAUGCUGAGGCUAAUGGGGGAGCUAACGGACAUGCUCAGGCAUCUGUUGGAGCUGCAGGAAAGGCAACAAGAGCACAGACCGCCGCUGCAUCCAUUGUAUAACUGCCUGUCUUCCUCGCCAAGUUCCAUAUCCUGCUCACCCAGACGUUCAAGAACCUGGGAGGGGGAGGCUCUGGGCAUCCAGCCACUCCACUCCAGAGGAUGGCCCAAGCAACAGAAGGCUGUCAUUCAAACAGCUU